rnacentral:rRNA from 1 species
UACGUAGGGUGCGAGCGUUGUCCGGAAUUAUUGGGCGUAAAGAGCUCGUAGGCGGUCUGUCGCGUCGAUCGUGAAAACUUGGGGCUUAACCCUGAGCUUGCGGUCGAUACGGGCGGACUGGAGUUCGGCAGGGGAGACUGGAAUUCCUGGUGUAGCGGUGAAAUGCGCAGAUAUCAGGAGGAACACCGAUGGCGAAGGCAGGUCUCUGGGCCGAUACUGACGCUGAGGAGCGAAAGCGUGGGGAGCGAACAGG